GGUAGACGCUACGGACUUAAAAUCCGUUGAUCUUAAACGGUCGUGUGGGUUC
rnacentral:tRNA from 1 species